CAGUACUGGGGAUUGGACACAGUGUCACUCUGCAUUGCCAAGACUGGCCUCAAAUUUUGAUGCCCCUGCCUCAGUUCUCAAGUCCUUGUGAUUACAAAUCACCACACGUGACAAUUAUUAAAGUAUUUUAAAUAUAACUGUUUUUAUUACUUUCUAAUUUUUACUUUUUUAAAAAAUAUUUUUUAGUUGCUAAUGGACCUUUAUUUAAUUUAUUUAUAUGUGGUGCUGAGAAUCAAACCCAGUGUCUCACACACUCUAGGUGAGCACCUUACCCCUGAGCCACAACCCCAGCCCCAUAAUUUUUACUUUUUUUAAAUAUUCUUUUUUUUAAAUUUUUAAAUUUUUAAAUAGACCUUUAUUUUAUUUAUUUAUACAUGGUGUUGAGAAUCAAACCCAGUGCCUCACACAUGCCAGGCAAGUGCGCUACCACUGAGCCACAGCCCCAGUUCCCUAAUUUUUACUUUUAAUGAAAAACAGUCUAGCUCUCUGCUAAGAAAACUGGUUACAGGUGUCUCUGCUCAGAUUGUCCCAUGACCUCAUUCCUACCCCUCAUCCUGAAGUCUAAAAACCUUAUUGAAAUUCCUUUUACAUUUGACUCUCUUAUAAUAUGCUUUCUAGUCACCUAAUGAUUGCAUUUUAUAUCAUUUGCCUUGAUGCUUUCCAGGAAGACAGUGACCAGCUAUCAUUUUCUCAGACUCCCACGGGCAAUGUGUGAAGAAUCCCAUUUUCCCAUAUCUUUAUCAGCUAUGGACAUUUUAAAAUGCUUGCUCAUAUGAUGAAUACAAAUUUUAUCUCAUAUUUGCAUUUUGUUAUUUGUAUUUUUCUAAUAGGAAGACUGAACUUCAUUUUUAUUUUGAAACAUUUUAGAAUUCCUUUAAAUUUCAAGUUCUAUCCAUUGUUCAUUUUUUUAUAUUUUUCUUAUUUUAACAAAAUUGUUUUAUUUUGAAAAGUGAAAUGGAAAAGAAUAUUAAAAAUAACCAGUACCCUUGUAACCAACAACCUAGAAUUAACAAAUGUAAGUAUUUUAUCAUAUUCAGCUCAAAUUGUUUUAAAUUAAAUGUUACAAAUAACUUCAAGAUUUUUCUCUAUCCAUUUAGUCCUAUUCUUCCAUUUCUCUCCCUCUUUCUCCAGAAGCAAAAAACUUAUCAAAACUUCAGUGUGUGUCCUUCCAGGCUAUGUGUUUAAAUCUCUAGCAUGUAUAUAUGGAACUGCAAAUUAUAUACAGUGUUGAUUUGUGUAUUUUUCUUAUUUUUUUAAUUAGUUAUACAUGACAGUAGAAUGUAUUUAUGCACUUUGAUGUAUCAUAUAUAGAUGGGAUAUAAUUUCUCAUUUUUCUGAGUGUACACAUUGGAGAAUCACAUUGGUCGUGCAGUCACAUAUAUACAUAAAGUAAUAAUGUCUGUUUUGUUCUACUAUCCUUCCUAUCCCCAUGUCUCCUCCCCAGCUUCACUUCCCUCUAACUCUAUUCUUCUCUAGUGCCCCCCACCUUGUUAUUGUGAAUUAGCAUCCACAUAUUAGAGAAAACAUUCAGCCUUUGCUUUGGGGGAUUGGCUUAUUUUGCUUAGCAAGAUAUUUUCCAACUCCAUCCAUUUACUGGCAAAUGCCAUAAUUUCAUUCUUCUUUAAACCUGAGUAAUAUUCCAUUGAAUAUAUAUAUCACAUUUUCUUUAUCCAUUUAUCUAUUGAAGGACACCUAGGUUGUUUCCAUAGGUUAGCUAUUGUGAAUUGAGCUGCUAUAAACAUUGAUGUGGCUGCAUUACUGUAGUAUGCUGAUUUUAAGUCCUUUGGGUAUAAACCGAGGAGUGGGUUAACUGGGUCAAAUGGUGGUUCCAUUUCAAGUUUUCUGAGGAAUCCAUGGUGGUUGCAACAACUUGCAGUCCCACCAGCAAUGUAUGAAUGUGCCUUUUUCCCCACAUCCUUGCCAACAUUUACUGUUGUCUGUAUUCUUGAUGAUUGCUAUUCAUACAAGAAUAAGAUGAAAUCUUAGUGUAGUUUUGAUUUGCAUUUCUUUAAUUGCUAGAGAUGUUGAACACUAUUUCAUAUAUUUGUUAAUUGAUGGUGUUUCUUCUUCUGUGAAGUGUCUAUUCAGUUCCUUAUCCCAUUUAUUGAUUGGGUUAUUUGUUUUUUGUUUGUUUGUUUGUUUUUGGUGUUAAGUUUUUUGAGUUCUUUAUAUAUCCUGGAGAUUAAUGCUUUAUCGAAGGUGCAUGCGGUAAAGAUUUUCUCCCAAUCUGUAGGCUCUCUCCUCCUAUUAUUGAUUGUUUCCUUUGCUGAAAAACCUUUUUAAUUUGAAUCCAUCCCUUUUAUUGAUUCUUGGAUUUUACUUCUUGCAUUUUAGGAGUCUUGUUAAGGAACUCAGAUCCUGGGCCGACACAGUGAAGAUCUGAGCCUACUUUUUCUUCUAUUAGGUGCAGGUCUAUGUUCUAGUGCCUAAGUCUUUGAUCCACUUUGAGUUGAUUUUUGUGUAGGGUGAGAGAUAGAGGUUUAAUUUCAUUUUGCUACAUAUAGAUUUCCAGUUUUGCCAGUACCAGUUAUUGAAUAGGCUAUCUUUUCUCCAGUAAAUAUUUUUAGCAGCUUUGUCUAGUAUGAGAUAACUGUAUUUAUGUGAUUUUGUCUCUGUGUCCUCUGUUCUGUACCAUUGGUCUAGAAGUCUAUUUUGGUGCCAAUACCAUGCCAUUUUUGUUACUAUAGCUCUGGAGUAUAGUUUAAGUUCUGGUAUUGUGAUGCCUCCUGCUUCACUUUGCUUUCUAAGGAUUGCUUUGGUUAUUCUGGGUCUCUUGUUUUUUCCAAAUGAAUUUUAUGAUUGCCUUUUCUAUUUCUAUGAAGAAUGUCAUUGGGAUUUUAAUAGGAAUUGCAUUAAAUCUGUAUAAUGCUUUUGGUAGUAUGGCCAUUGACAGUAUUAAUUCUGCCUAUCUAGAGCAUGGGAGAUCUUUUCAUCUUCUGGGGUUUUCUUUAAUUUAUUUGUUUAGUGUUCUGUAGUUUUUAUUGUAGAGGUCUUUCACCUCUUUUGUUAGAUUGAUUCCCAAGGAGUUGUUUUUUGGGGGGGUUUGUUUGUUUUGUUUUGAGUCUUUAAGCCAUCUGGAAUUAUUUUUGUAUGUGGUAUGAGAUAUGGAUCAAACAAGCCCCCACCAAACAGGGAAAGCCCUUAGACCUGGCAUCAUAAAUUAAGUAGCUUAUAUAUUCCCCACAGAUUGUGAUGCCACUCUAUCUUAGACCAAGUUACUGUGUAAGAACUGCUGGGCUCCUGGAUAUAUAUUCAGUUCCAUUGAUCAGUUUGUCUAUUUUUGUAGCAACACCACACUGUCCUAAUUAUAGGUUUAUAAUAGGCCAUGCUAGCUGGUAAGACAAUUCCUCUUUCCCUUGUUUUCUUUUUCACAAUUGCCUUGAUUCUUUUGGGACCUUGGCCUUUUUAUAUUAAUUUUAGAAUCUGCCAAGUUUUACAUACACACUUCAAAAUAAUCUUUAUUAGAUUCCAAUUGGAAUUACACAGAAUUUAUAAAUUAAUGGCUAAUUAUUAUAUUACUAUAUUUAAAUUUACUGUCUGCUAACAUUCAUGUCAGUUUUUAUCUUUUUCUUUUUCUUU
rnacentral:lncRNA from 1 species